CGCAAGCGCCGCCCGCAGCCCUGGUUCCCGCUCACGCCUCUCCCUCCACACCUCCCGGCAAGCUGAGGGAGUAGGCUCUGGCCUUGGCCAGCCCAGAAAGGGGCUCCCAUAGUGCAGCGGUGGGCUGAAGGGCUCCUCAAGUGCCGCCAAAGUGGGAGCCCAGGCAGAGGAGGCGCCGAGAGCGAGCGACGGCUGUGAGGACUGCCAGCACGCUGUCACCUCUCACAGGGAACUGUGAAGACUAGAGUGACCUUGGAGAUCUCAUCUGGAAGAUGGUAGAACUGCUAUCAGCCUGGCUUCCCAAAUGACCUCCUGGAUCACAGCUACCCAUGGCCUGAAAUGUUGACCUUGGAGUUGUUGCAUAGGAAAGAAAUAAACUUCUUUGUUCUUUGAGCCACAUAGUUAUCACAUAUCUUCUUAAAGCCACUUACCCACUUGUUCUAUCUCAUUCAGCUCUGAAAUUCUGUUUAAUUUCUAGAGUCAAAACAUUCAUUUGUUUCUUCUUUAUUUAACAAGAAUCAAUUACUUAUUUUAUGGAAGCCACUAUUCCAAAGAGAAGAAUCAUAAAAACAUUAGCCUUAUGGAUCUUUUGUCCUGGGAACAACACAGAGUGGAGACUACUGGAAUUUUUAAUAAAGUUCCUUUCCUGGGCAGUGCCAGUCCAGACCUAAUUUCCAGACUUAGUUAAGAUUAGACCAGUGUGCUGAAGAAUCAAAACAUCUAGAUAUUUUCCUUGCUCCAUUCUGCUUACAGCCCCACAAAAACUACUCACCCCACAGGGUUUCUUGCUUGAGAUUCCAGACAAUUCCUGUAUGUUUUAUUAGAAUACACUCUGUGUUUCAUCCAACUAGGAAGCCUUUGGCUCCGACUUAAAGCAUUAAGAACGGACCACUUUGGUAUGGAAAAUUAUCAGUUUUGGGGGAAAAGCCCCUGUUUCUCUGAUCUGUGCUCUGAAUUUGGCAGCUUUGUAGGCUUUCUCAAAGAGCCGCAACUGUGAACCAUGUCAUGUUGUCAUUAUCUCUGAUAUGCUCUGUGCAUUGGAAAUCCUGUGUGAGACUGGCAGGGGACAGAGGGAAUGAAGAAAUCACAUUCAUCAGAACAAGCUGCUCAACUUCCUUAAGUAAGGAGUUUGUCUAACAUCCAGUGGUUUCCUCUGACAGAGUGUGUACUUUCUUAACAUACGGACAAGAUUAGUACAUAGCCAGAAUGACUGUCUGCAGGUCCUAGGCUGCUUUUCAGAGGCAGCUUUAAUCUUCCUAAUUGAAUAUUUAGCUUUUCUAGGCCUGCACAAAAUGUAAAUCACAAUGUUUACAAUCUGUGAAAUAAUAGGAGAGUACAUAAUGUCAUUGCAAUAUUUUGUAAUCACUGUUAAAUGACUAAAAUCUAUUAAACUCAAUCAUUUUAAAUUAAACUUCUAAACUUCCCCAUUGCAGGUGAUGGCAACUCCAUUUUUACAAUCGCUUAGGCCAAAAAAACUUGACGUCAUCCUUGACUCUUCUUUCUCUCUCAUCUCACAAGCAAUUCAUCAGAAAAUCCUGUCAGCUCUGCUUUCAAAAUUUAACCAGAAUCUGAUUCCUUUGCAUCACCUCCACUGCUACCACUCUGGUGGAGCUGCCAACAUCUGUCACAUAGAUUAAGUCACACACACACACAUGCACACACACACAGAGUGUAUUCUCAGUCAAAGUGAUCUUUUUAAAAGGGAAAUAAGGCCAUUCUACUCCUCUGUUCAAAACUUUCAAAUGGCUCUCCACUUUUCUCUGAAUAUAAGCUCAAAUCCAUACAAGGACUUGUAGAGCCCCCGUUACCUUCUGACCUCAUUGCCUCCUACUCUGAUCUCUUAUGCAGAUCCUGCCCCAGUGGCUUCCUUGUUGCUCCUGGGUCACAUAAGGAAUGCUCUUGUUAUUUGUUCCAACUCUUUCUCAGUGCCCUCUCCUUGAUGUCUGCUUGGAUAUCUCCCUCACCUUCUUUAAUUGGACCUCUACCUUUCACCAUAUACAAAAAUUAACUCGAGAUGAAUUAAAGAUUUAAAUGUAAGACCUCAAACUCUAUAAAUUACAGAAGAAAAUCUGGGAAAUUCCCUUCUCAAUGUCAGCCUUGGCAAAGAAUUGAUGGGUAAGUCCUCAAAAGCAAUUGCAACAAAAAAAUUGACAUGUGGGACCUAAUUAAACUAAAGAGGUUUUGCGCAGCAAAAGAAACUAGCAACAAGUAAACAACCUAUAGAAUGGGAGAAAAUAUUUGCAAGCUAUGCAUCCAACAAAGGUCUAAUAUCCAGAAUCUAUAAGGAACUUAAAUCAACAAGCAAAAAACAACCCCAUUAAAAAGUGGACAAAGGACAUGAACAGACAGUUCUCAAAAGAAGACAUAUAAGCAGCCAACAAACAUGAAAAAAUGCUCACCAUUGCUAAUCAUCAGAGAAAAGCAAAUUAAAACCAUAAUGAGAUAUCAUCUCACAUCAGCCAGAAUGGCUAUUAUUAAAAAGCCAAAAAAUAACAGAUGCUGUCAAGACUACAGAAAACAGGGGACACUUACACACUUUGGGUGGGAAUGUAAAUUAGUUCAGCCACGGUGGAAAGCAGUUUGGAGAUUUCUCAAAUAACUUAGAACUACCAUUUGACCCAGCAAUCCCAUUACUAGGUAUGUACCCAAAGGAACAUAUAUCAUUCUACAAAAAAGACACAUGCACUUGCAUGUUUUUUGCAGCACUAUUCACAAAAGGAAAGACAUGGAAUCAACCUAGAUGUGUAUCAGUGGUGGACUGGAUAAAGAAAAUGUGGUACAUAUAUACUAUGGAAUACUAUGCAGGCAUACAAAAUGAAAUCAUGUCUUUUGCAGCAACAUGGAUGCAGCCGGAGGCCAUUAUCCUAAGGAAUAGAAAACCAGGGCCGGAUGUGGUGGCUCACACCUGUAAUCCCAGCACUUUGGGAGGCUGAGGCAGGCAGAUCACAAGGUCAGGAAUUUGAGACCAGCCUGGCCAACAUAGUGAAACCUCAUCUCUACUAAAUACAAAAAAAUUAGCCGGGCGUGGUGGUGUGUGGUGGUAAUCCCACCUACUUGUGAGGUUGAAGUGGGAGAAUCGCUUGAACCUGGGAGGUGGAGGUUGCGGUGAGCCGAGAUCGCGCCACUGCACCCAGCCAGGGCGACAGUGCAAGAGUCCGACUCAAAAAAAAAAAAAAAAGAAAAGAAAAUGAAACCAAAUACCACAUGUUCUCACUUAUAAACGUGAACUAAACAUCAAGUACAUGUGGAGAUAAAGAUGGGAGCAACGGACACUGGGGACUGCUGGGGUCGGGGAGUGUUAGAGGGGGUGCUGAGGAACUGCCUAUGGGUGCUGUGCUCACUGCCUGGGUGACCAGAUCAUUCAUACUUCAAACCUCAGCAUCCCACAGUGUUCCCAUGUGACAGACCUGCACACGUAUCUCCUGAAUCUAAAAUAAAAGUUGAAAUUGCUUUUAAAAAAAGACUUGGCUGAAAUAUCUCCUCUUUAAUAAGGUCCACUGGGACUACCCUAUUCCUACUGUCCCUUGCUGUCCCACUCACUUA
rnacentral:lncRNA from 1 species